rnacentral:misc_RNA from 1 species
AAGAGUUGCAAAACUCCCACAAACCAUCGCGAACGUUACCCAGACGUCGUUGCUUCGGCGGGCUCGCCCGCCGGGGGGACGCUACCAGACUCUUGCAGCUAUUCGGCCUCUCUGAGUAUGAUUUUUUAAAUAAGUCA